ACUAACUGGUUCUGGUCCAUUCCUGGUGGCCAUUCCUCUCUCUUUCCCUACUAUUCUGAAAAUGCACUCAAGUAGAAAUAUAAGAUUAAAUUAUAAUUAAUAUUUAUUAUGGUUGAAGGAAAAAGAAAAGAAGCAGGGUUUGGGUUUGGUUGUCUACGAUUCCUACGCGAUUAUUACACGCUGCCACCUUGCCACAGACACUCACUGCCUUCUAUACAUCAUGACCGUUG
rnacentral:lncRNA from 1 species